AAAAGUGAAAGACGGUCUUGCUGUCACUUAUAGAUGGAUCCGCGCUGCAUUAGCUAGUUGGUAAGGUAACGGCUUACCAAGGCAACGAUGCAUAGCCGACCUGAGAGGGUGAUCGGCCACACUGGAACUGAGACACGGUCCAGACUCCUACGGGAGGCAGCAGUAGGGAAUCUUCCGCAAUGGGCGAAAGCCUGACGGAGCAACGCCGCGUGAGUGAUGAAGGUCUUCGGAUCGUAAAACUCUGUUAUUAGGGAAGAACAUAUGUGUAAGUAACUGUGCACAUCUUGACGGUACCUAAUCAGAAAGCCACGGCUAACUACGUGCCAGCAGCCGCGGUAAUACGUAGGUGGCAAGCGUUAUCCGGAAUUAUUGGGCGUAAAGCGCGCGUAGGCGGUUUUUUAAGUCUGAUGUGAAAGCCCACGGCUCAACCGUGGAGGGUCAUUGGAAACUGGAAAACUUGAGUGCAGAAGAGGAAAGUGGAAUUCCAUGUGUAGCGGUGAAAUGCGCAGAGAUAUGGAGGAACACCAGUGGCGAAGGCGACUUUCUGGUCUGUAACUGACGCUGAUGUGCGAAAGCGUGGGGAUCAAACAGGAUUAGAUACCCUGGUAGUCC
rnacentral:rRNA from 1 species